rnacentral:tRNA from 1 species
GGCUUUUAAUGGUUUUAAUAAAUGUGGUUUUAGGCGCACGGUUUCCUAAACCAUGCGUCGGAGGUUCGAAUCCUCUCGGGGCCA